CUACACAGUAACUGUGCAGUCUACACAGUAACUGUGAGGUCUACACAGUAACUGUGCAGUCUGCACAGUGACUGUGCAU